rnacentral:lncRNA from 1 species
GGGUUGAUGGGUGCAGCAAUCCACCAUGGCACAUGUAUACCUAUGUAACAAACACUGGAGCUCUCAUACACUGCUGGUGGAAGUGUAAAUUUGUAAAACCACUUUGUAAAACUUUAGCAGAAUCUACUAAAAAUUAUCAUAUGCAUAAACCAUGACCUAAUAAUUUCACCCUAAUUAUAUACCCAUCGAAAGUUACAUAUAUUGGCCAGGCCUGGUGGCUCAUGCCUGUAAUCCCAGCACUUCAGGAGGCCGAGGCAGGUGGAUCACCUGAGGUCAGGAGUUUGAGAUCAACCUGGCCAACAUGGUGAAACCCUGUCUCUACUAAAAAUACAAAAAAAUUACCCGAGUGUGGUGGUGGGUGCCUGUAAUCCCAGCUACUUGGAGGCUGAGGCAGGAGAAUCGCUAUUAACUUAAGGGCUUCUGCCAUCUUUGCUGUAAGUAACAUAGGAAAAACUCACAAAGAGAAAAAAAAUGUUAUUUCUGUGCAUUCAUAUGCAAGGAUUUGAUUCUAAUUUUUUUUGUUUUAGUUUGUCUUCUAAUUCAAUAAUUCCUUUUCCCAUGGUCUCUAAGUCACAUACCUGUGACUGUUGGUCAAAAGGUUGGACCCAUUAUCUCCUUACUGUCCUUCUUACCAUUCUUCGCUCUCUCAGGAAGUUUCAAAGAUACAAUGUUCUCUUUUGCUAAACUGCCUUGAAAAAAAUGGGCCCAAUAGUGUACACAUGCUUCUUUCACUCUCUUAUCAUCCCUGGGUACCAUAAAACUUUUGAAUUUUUGCUUUCUGAUUGGAGCAUUUAAAAAAAUAGCCUUUCAUUUAUUUUACAGCAGGUUUAGGUCCACAGCAAAAUUGAGCAGAAAGCACAGCAUUCCCAUAUAUCCCCUGUCCCCACACAUUCACAGCCUCCCCAACUACCAACGUUCCACAUAAGAGUGGCAUAUUUGUCACACU